UAACAGCAGGAAUGGACCAGACAGAAUCACUCCCAAGUGACCAUCGUGAUGCCAGGAGGUGUGGGCCCUUAGGAGUGUCGCUACGAGCCACACAGCAAACUACCCCAUCCCUGACAAACAACAAGUGAACCAGAGAUCUCCCCCUGUCCCAAUGCACUAGACACUUACAGCUCCAACACUGGGCCAAGCACUCCACUGCAGCUUUUGCAGCUGGGCUGCCCUGCCUCACUUGGAUGCAUCAACAAAGCUUGAAGUGGCCACUCUAAUCUGGUUAAGUAUUGCCUGGUUGGGGAGAAAUUAGCCGAAUUCUUUUAACUUUUCAAACAAAC